GGUCGUGGCUCCAAUCAGGUAGAGCACCCGCUUGAAACGCGGGGCGUGCAGGUUCGACUCCUGCCGGGGCCACCU
rnacentral:tRNA from 1 species